rnacentral:rRNA from 1 species
ACGGGUGAGUAAUGUCUGGGAAACUGCCUGAUGGAGGGGGAUAACUACUGGAAACGGUAGCUAAUACCGCAUAACGUCGCAAGACCAAAGAGGGGGACCUUCGGGCCUCUUGCCAUCAGAUGUGCCCAGAUGGGAUUAGCUAGUAGGUGGGGUAACGGCUCACCUAGGCGACGAUCCCUAGCUGGUCUGAGAGGAUGACCAGCCACACUGGAACUGAGACACGGUCCAGACUCCUACGGGAGGCAGCAGUGGGGAAUAUUGCACAAUGGGCGCAAGCCUGAUGCAGCCAUGCCGCGUGUAUGAAGAAGGCCUUCGGGUUGUAAAGUACUUUCAGCGGGGAGGAAGGUGUUGCGGUUAAUAACCGCAGCAAUUGACGUUACCCGCAGAAGAAGCACCGGCUAACUCCGUGCCAGCAGCCGCGGUAAUACGGAGGGUGCAAGCGUUAAUCGGAAUUACUGGGCGUAAAGCGCACGCAGGCGGUCUGUCAAGUCGGAUGUGAAAUCCCCGGGCUCAACCUGGGAACUGCAUUCGAAACUGGCAGGCUAGAGUCUUGUAGAGGGGGGUAGAAUUCCAGGUGUAGCG